UUGAAGAGUUUGAUCAUGGCUCAGAUUGAACGCUGGCGGCAGGCCUAACACAUGCAAGUCGAACGGUAACAGAAAGCAGCUUGCUGCUUUGCUGACGAGUGGCGGACGGGUGAGUAAUGUCUGGGAAACUGCCUGAUGGAGGGGGAUAACUACUGGAAACGGUAGCUAAUACCGCAUAACGUCGCAAGACCAAAGAGGGGGACCUUCGGGCCUCUUGCCAUCGGAUGUGCCCAGAUGGGAUUAGCUUGUUGGUGGGGUAACGGCUCACCAAGGCGACGAUCCCUAGCUGGUCUGAGAGGAUGACCAGCCACACUGGAACUGAGACACGGUCCAGACUCCUACGGGAGGCAGCAGUGGGGAAUAUUGCACAAUGGGCGCAAGCCUGAUGCAGCCAUGCCGCGUGUAUGAAGAAGGCCUUCGGGUUGUAAAGUACUUUCAGCGGGGAGGAAGGGAGUAAAGUUAAUACCUUUGCUCAUUGACGUUACCCGCAGAAGAAGCACCGGCUAACUCCGUGCCAGCAGCCGCGGUAAUACGGAGGGUGCAAGCGUUAAUCGGAAUUACUGGGCGUAAAGCGCACGCAGGCGGUUUGUUAAGUCAGAUGUGAAAUCCCCGGGCUCAACCUGGGAACUGCAUCUGAUACUGGCAAGCUUGAGUCUCGUAGAGGGGGGUAGAAUUCCAGGUGUAGCGGUGAAAUGCGUAGAGAUCUGGAGGAAUACCGGUGGCGAAGGCGGCCCCUGGACGAAGACUGACGCUCAGGUGCGAAAGCGUGGGGAGCAAACAGGAUUAGAUACCCUGGUAGUCCACGCCGUAAACGAUGUCGACUUGGAGGUUGUGCCCUUGAGGCGUGGCUUCCGGAGCUAACGCGUUAAGUCGACCGCCUGGGGAGUACGGCCGCAAGGUUAAAACUCAAAUGAAUUGACGGGGGCCCGCACAAGCGGUGGAGCAUGUGGUUUAAUUCGAUGCAACGCGAAGAACCUUACCUGGUCUUGACAUCCACAGAACUUUCCAGAGAUGGAUUGGUGCCUUCGGGAACUGUGAGACAGGUGCUGCAUGGCUGUCGUCAGCUCGUGUUGUGAAAUGUUGGGUUAAGUCCCGCAACGAGCGCAACCCUUAUCCUUUGUUGCCAGCGGUCCGGCCGGGAACUCAAAGGAGACUGCCAGUGAUAAACUGGAGGAAGGUGGGGAUGACGUCAAGUCAUCAUGGCCCUUACGACCAGGGCUACACACGUGCUACAAUGGCGCAUACAAAGAGAAGCGACCUCGCGAGAGCAAGCGGACCUCAUAAAGUGCGUCGUAGUCCGGAUUGGAGUCUGCAACUCGACUCCAUGAAGUCGGAAUCGCUAGUAAUCGUGGAUCAGAAUGCCACGGUGAAUACGUUCCCGGGCCUUGUACACACCGCCCGUCACACCAUGGGAGUGGGUUGCAAAAGAAGUAGGUAGCUUAACCUUCGGGAGGGCGCUUACCACUUUGUGAUUCAUGACUGGGGUGAAGUCGUAACAAGGUAACCGUAGGGGAACCUGCGGUUGGAUCACCUCCUU
rnacentral:rRNA from 1 species